rnacentral:rRNA from 1 species
UGAGGAAUAUUGGACAAUGGGCGCAAGCCUGAUCCAGCCAUGCCGCGUGCAGGAAGAAGCAUCUAUGGUGUGUAAACUGCUUUUGUACGGGAAGAAACACUCCUACGUGUAGGAGCUUGACGGUACCGUAAGAAUAAGGAUCGGCUAACUCCGUGCCAGCAGCCGCGGUAAUACGGAGGAUCCAAGCGUUAUCCGGAAUCAUUGGGUUUAAAGGGUCCGUAGGCGGUUUAAUAAGUCAGUGGUGAAAGCCCAUCGCUCAACGAUGGAACGGCCAUUGAUACUGUUAGACUUGAAUUACAAGGAAGUAACUAGAAUAUGUAGUGUAGCGGUGAAAUGCUUAGAUAUUACAUGGAAUACCAAUUGCGAAGGCAGGUUACUACUUGUGGAUUGACGCUGAUGGACGAAAGCGUGGGGAGCGAACA